UGUCUGAAUAUGGGGGGACCAUCCUCCAAGGCUAAAUACUCCUGACUGACCGAUAGUGAACCAGUACCGUGAGGGAAAGGCGAAAAGAACCCCUGUGAGGGGAGUGAAAUAGAUCCUGAAACCGCAUGCAUACAAGCAGUGGGAGCACCUUCGUGGUGUGACUGCGUACCUUUUGUAUAAUGGGUCAGCGACUUAUAUUCAGUAGCAAGGUUAACCGUAUAGGGGAGCCGUAGAGAAAUCGAGUCUUAAUAGGGCGUUUAGUUGCUGGGUAUAGACCCGAAACCAGGCGAUCUAUCCAUGAGCAGGUUGAAGGUUGGGUAACACUAACUGGAGGACCGAACCCACUGUCGUUGAAAAGCCAGGGGAUGACUUGUGGAUAGGGGUGAAAGGCUAAUCAAGCCUGGUGAUAGCUGGUUCUCCCCGAAAGCUAUUUAGGUAGCGCCUCGGACGAAUACCAUAGGGGGUAGAGCACUGUUUCGGCUAGGGGGUCAUCCCGACUUACCAAACCGAUGCAAACUCCGAAUACCUAUGAGUACUAUCCGGGAGACAGACUGCGGGUGCUAACGUCCGUAGUCAAGAGGAAAACAAUCCAGACCGCCAGCUAAGGCCCCAAAAUCAUAGUUAAGUGGGAAACGAUGUGGGAAGGCAUAGACAGCUAGGAGGUUGGCUUAGAAGCAGCCACCCUUUAAAGAAAGCGUAAUAGCUCACUAGUCGAGUCGGCCUGCGCGGAAGAUGUAACGGGGCUAAAACUAUGUGCCGAAGCUGCGGAUGUAUACUUUGUAUACGUGGUAGGGGAGCGUUCUGUAAGCCGAUGAAGGUGUGUUGAGAAGCAUGCUGGAGGUAUCAGAAGUGCGAAUGCUGACGUGAGUAACGACAAAACGGGUGAAAAACCCGUUCGCCGAAAGACCAAGGGUUCCAGUCCAACGUUAAUCGGGGCUGGGUGAGUCGACCCCUAAGGCGAGGCCGAAAGGCGUAGUCGAUGGGAAAAUGGUUAAUAUUCCAUUACUUCUGUGUAAUGCGAUGAGAGGACGGAGAAGGCUAAAUCAGCCUGGCGUUGGUUGUCCAGGUGAAAGGAUGUAGGCAUGUAUCUUAGGCAAAUCCGGGGUACUCUAUGCUGAGAUCUGAUAGCAAGCUGUACUUGUACAGCGAAGUGGUUGAUGCCAUGCUUCCAGGAAAAGUCUCUAAGCUUCAGUUACACAGGAAUCGUACCCGAAACCGACACAGGUGGUCAGGUCGAGUAGACCAAGGCGCUUGAGAGAACUCUGCUGAAGGAACUAGGCAAAAUGGUACCGUAACUUCGGGAGAAGGUACGCUGUUGUUGGUGAUGGAACUCGCUUCCUGAGCUGACGACAGCCGCAGAAACCAGGCCGCUGCAACUGUUUAUUAAAAACAUAGCACUCUGCAAACACGAAAGUGGACGUAUAGGGUGUGAUGCCUGCCCGGUGCUGGAAGGUUAAUUGAUGGGGUUAGCGUAAGCGAAGCUCUUGAUCGAAGCCCCAGUAAACGGCGGCCGUAACUAUAACGGUCCUAAGGUAGCGAAAUUCCUUGUCGGGUAAGUUCCGACCUGCACGAAUGGCAUAAUGAUGGCGGCGCUGUCUCCAGCAGAGGCUCAGUGAAAUCGAAAUCGCUGUGAAGAUGCAGUGUACCCGCGGCUAGACGGAAAGACCCCGUGAACCUUUACUGCAGCUUGACACUGAACUUUGACCUUACUUGUGUAGGAUAGGUGGGAGGCUUUGAAGCUGGAACGCUAGUUCCAGUGGAGCCGUCCUUGAAAUACCACCCUGGUAAUGUUGAGGUUCUAACUCUGUCCCGUGAUCCGGGACGAGGACCGUGUCUGGUGGGUAGUUUGACUGGGGCGGUCUCCUCCUAAAGAGUAACGGAGGAGUACGAAGGUGCGCUCAGCGUGGUCGGAAAUCACGCGUAGAGUAUAAAGGCAAAAGCGCGCUUAACUGCGAGACCCACAAGUCGAGCAGGUACGAAAGUAGGUCUUAGUGAUCCGGUGGUUCUGUAUGGAAGGGCCAUCGCUCAACGGAUAAAAGGUACUCUGGGGAUAACAGGCUGAUACCGCCCAAGAGUUCAUAUCGACGGCGGUGUUUGGCACCUCGAUGUCGGCUCAUCUCAUCCUGGGGCUGAAGCAGGUCCCAAGGGUAUGGCUGUUCGCCAUUUAAAGAGGUACGCGAGCUGGGUUUAGAACGUCGUGAGACAGUUCGGUCCCUAUCUACCGUGGGCGCUGGAAAUUUGAGAGGAUCUGCUCCUAGUACGAGAGGACCAGAGUGGACGAACCUCUGGUGUACCGGUUGUGACGCCAGUCGCAUCGCCGGGUAGCUAUGUUCGGAAGGGAUAACCGCUGAAAGCAUCUAAGCGGGAAGCCUACCUCAAGAUAAGAUUUCCCUAGGACUUUAUGUCCUCUAAAGAGCCGUUCGAGACUAGGACGUUGAUAGGUUGGAUGUGGAAGCAUAGUGAUAUGUGAAGCUGACCAAUACUAAUUGCUCGUGAGGCUUGACUAUACAACACCCAAGCAGUUG
rnacentral:rRNA from 1 species